CGCCGAGUUCUCGCGGCCGCAAAGCUGUGGCGCGGAGUCCGCGGGGCGGCGCCGGAGACGGAGGGAAGUGAUAACACCGAGCCCGGCGAACCCACGUGUUGUGCGACUGGAAACUUAAAACAGCCAGGGGGAGGAGGUCGCACGGAGAAGACGCAGUUCGAGUCUGGCUCUUGGAAGUCUUCGGUACACAGAGGGCCCGGAGCUUAAAGCUCAUUAGCUUCACAUGCAAACUGCUGCUGCAGCCCUCCUAGGAUUGUUGUGAGGAUUCACGAGGUGAGCCCUGAGAGCCCUGCCCCGUGCCUGGCUCGCACCAAAGGCGCUGUGUAGAGGAUUCAGGUCCCUGGGACCGGUCGGAGGGACCCGGGAAAUGCAGAAAUCACAUUGACUGCAACUAUGGGCCAGGUGUUUGAAACGCCCAGUGUGCUUAAUUUACCCACAAACAUGUGCACGUAUGCGAGAGCAUUCUGCCCGUGUCAUAGCUCCAAAAAAUAAGGCUCGGAGAAGUCGUGUAACUUGCUCAGUCUCACAAAAUUCUGCCAUAUUACAAUUCUGCCAUAUUACAGGUUUUUCCACAGUUACAUGUCACAAAUAAUAUGUAAAUUAUUACUAUGACUUCUUGUUGGGACAACAGAAGAAAUUCCCCACGAGAGAACAAAGUGCCUCAGAAAAACCUACUCACGAAUUUUCCCUGCAAAACUUCCCCACUUCAGAACCAAAGCAAAUGAAAUGUUUUUCUGCAGGUGAAGUACCUUGCUGCAAAAUCAAGAAACGGCUUUACUCAAGUGUAUGCAGGUCAUACAUUCAUUUUCUCUGCUAGCACGGUGUGUGUUUACUUUUCCUAUCAUUUAUUCAUACUGUUACAGUUCAAACUAGUGGGUUUAUAAUCUACCCUCAAGAGGCUUAUAAAUAAAACAGACAAAAUGAAAGAAACUUUUGGGGGCAAGAUACUUCAUAUACUUUUUCUCUGAAUUACCACAUCACUUUGCUGUAGUUAUAAUUACUUGCUGUUAGCCGGUGAAAAUUCGAAAGUAUAUUAAUUUGUUUAAAUGCACACAGUCACAAUUUGAACCCAAUUUUGCCUGGAUCCUAAACGUUGGCUCUUUUUUUUUUUAACACCUAGGCAAGAAAAGAAUAAACUACUAAAAUACAUUAAUUCAUUUAUGUAGUACAAAGUAGGAGGAAAGAAUACCACAAAUUAUGAUAGCUAUUUUCUUAAACUGUUUCUAUAGUGGAAUAAUUCAACAUAAACUCCAUACCCACAGUGCAGUGUUCUAAGGUGAGGAAAAGAGAGUGCUUAUUACAUUACCAGGCAUAGCAGAGCAUCGAUAGAAUGAAUGCAUUCAUAAAUAAUCAGUAAAAUGGUAGUUACUGGUGAGUGUGUCGCUAAGAAUGAACUUGGGGUGUUGCCUGUCCCACACAAGUGCUUCUCCACUGGGCUACGUCCCCCAUAAGUCACAGCCUUUCAAUAGAAUUAUUCUUGUAAAAUGACAAUAUAACCAAGACACCCCCUCCCCUUGGCUUAUAAACAGGCAAGUUAAAUUGUAAAAGGGUACAAGAGGAGAGUAGAAGCAAAGAAGCCAGACACAGUGGCUCACACCUGUCAUCCCUGCACCUUGGUAGGCUGAGGUAGGAGGAGCCAAAGUUUGAGCAUGGGCAAUUUAGUGAGACCCUGAAUCAAGAUUUUUAAAGGGGACAGGGAACUGAGAAGGGGAGUGAGGGCGGUGAGGGGAGACAUCCUUUCCUUCGCCUGCUUCUCAGAGGAGAAAGACUUUUGUACUUCAGGAAAAAAACCACAAAAGUGCAUUGCAGUUUCUAACUGAGAAAUGGGAGCCAUAGUUUGACUUUUAUUGUAUGGGAGUCAAACCAGUGUUUCUAAAGAUGGAAAUCAAACUUGCUUCUGUGCUGACCUCCCCAACAUAUUCGUCCCUCCUCCCUCUCCCUCUCGGAGCCUUUGGGUGGUGGGGGAUGGGGUCACAUCUUUAAUAAGGGAUGCCCCUUCCAUACCUCUCCCUCUGGCCUGGAAGCAUUCAUGCAAGAAGUGAACUUUCAAAGACUUUCAAAGACAAAUUCAAUAAAGGAAGUGAGAGGGGCACACAUACACCUUGCAAGGAUUCAGGGGCUCAGGGAAAAGGUUGGAAUGGGGGAUCUAAUAAAAAAGGAAUGGCUCAUUUUUGCAUUUAUCCAGGCCCACCCACUCCAAAGCCCAAGCUCCUUAUCCGAUGUGCUACCUGCUUUGCAAGAGACCAAGUUAGACCUCUGAUCUAGACAUGGCAAUUGGCAAAAUAGAAAGGAAAAGAGGAGAAAAGGAUUCUGCUUUCUUAAAUGAGCUGCAGAAGAAAUGAGGCUCUUGGGCCUCAAGCUGCAAGCAAACUGAUUCCCUAGUUCCAGGAGAGACCAGAGCUCCCCUUGGUCACGCACCUGUUAACCCUCAUUUUCGAGUGUCACUAGUGGGGCCAGCAGUGAGUCAGUUUUAAAGUUCAGGGUCUGUCCUUCUGUACACUGCGCAGAGGCACUGUGUACACUGAUACACCACACCAUUCCUUUCACAGACUGAUUUCCAGUCGGGGUCACCAUCUGCAGAGAGGUGACUCCAGCUACAGUGUGGGGUGCUGCCCUCAGGUGCUUACCCAGAGCAGCAAAGGUUGCUGGGGGCUUGAGGCCGCCAUGCCCAUGCCCACCAUGGGGAAGAGCCGCUGUCUUUGACCUCCACCAGUCCCUUGAUGUGCCCAUGAGACACACGGGAAACCACGUCCCAGUAACCAGAACUUUCUGUGCAGUACAGCAGUGGGGGUAGUUUAGUUCCAAAGGGGUCUCAGCCCUGGGGCACUAACAUAAUCAGGUCCACUGCAGGAGUGGAGACUAAAGAUCCCUGUCUCAUCCCCAUCUUAACUUCACAGCCUGGCAUGACGCUGGUAGUUUAAUCCACACAGGUGCCUGCCACAGGGGAGGCCCCCCAUCUCCCUGUCUUCCCUGGGCCAUAAAAGGAAUUUUGCAAUCUCUUUUUUUUCAAGUACUGAGAAGCCUGAAUAGUAUCUAUAAUUUUUUUCAUAUGUGUUUACUUUUUGUUUUUUUGUUGAUUUUGUGGUACUAAGGAUUGAACCCAGGGGUGCUCUACUACUGAGCUAUCUCCCUAGCCCUUUUUAUUUUUCAUUUGAGACAAAGUCUCACUAACUUGCCCAGGUGGGACUCAAUCUUCUAUUCCCUUUUAGGAGCUGCCCCUGAGCCAUUCCGCUGUGGUGGUUGUUACUUUCCCAAAUUGUUCCAUAUUACUGGGGCAUCCAAAGAAUAUUUACUGAUCAGAUCUGCUGUGAAUUGAUCUACUCUCAGAGCAUAAUCAGCUUUCCCUUUCACCAUCUCUCCACUGCCUGUCUACCUCCACAGUUCUAAACUUUCUCAUCCAAGAUGUUAAUUGUUCCCUCUCCUCACUCUCAGUAGACCACAUUGUUCCCAUCUUCAUGUAGAAAUGUUUCCGACUGGAGCUUCAACAGAUGUUGUAUCUUCCCACUGUGGAUCUAUUUUCUUCACUGUGAGAAACAGGUCCUGGCAAAAGCUCAUCCCGUGUCUUAAAUUCAAAACCUCUACCUGGCCCAGAAUUAAACUCCAUCCCCUGCUCCAAUCUACUUGCAUUUUCCAAGUAGUUCACUUUGUUGAAUCUUAGCCUCUGUCUUCAAGCCUAGGCCUUCGUUAUUCUUUAAAGAAUACUAGUAUUAAUAUAAUGUCAAAAAGUUCUGCAUUUCCCUCAAACUAUUGACUAUAGCUCAAUAUUUCCUUUCUAC
ensembl:lncRNA